UUUGGAGUCAGAUGUAAAUCCAUGACUUGACCACUUAUUGCUGUGAGACCCUGGACAGCUGGAUAUAGAGUUCUUGUUCUAGCAUCCGCCCUGGGAAUCCCCGGAACUGGGCCUCUUACCGACACCAUUGCCUGUAAUCCACAAACCUAGGAGGAGGUUACUUUCCAUCUAAAAAGUAAUAAUGUAAAAACCACAUGGGGGUGAAUGGUAUAGAGCCGAGAAGUGCCUGCUCCGGAGGCUGCAAGCUCGGGCUCCCGCAGCACAGCUGCUGCCCACUCUGCUGGAGGCCUCUUCUGGGUGCAUCUUCAUGAGUUACAAGAAGCACAUUACUUUGACCCCAAAGGGAACGCUACACUUCCUUAGAAAUUAAGAGUGUGUGCUACACUGCUUUACCAGAGCAAGGCCAAAAGCAGCUUCAAUUAUGGUACAACUGUGUGAAGACACAAUGCAAAACCACUCAAGAAUGCUCACUCAAAUGGAUUUUUACCAUGGAACUCGGAAACGGGACCCAGAAAGUUGUUUUCUCAAGUGGAUGGAACAACACAAGCAAUCAGUAUCCUGAAACAGGCCCUG
ensembl:lncRNA novel transcript, antisense to IWS1